CUUGGGCUGCACAUCCAGUAAAGCGGCAGCCUGAUGGCGUCCUCUUGUCUUGGCGGGCAGGAAGUUGACAGAAAGCGAGGAGAGCGGUUACUCUUUAGUUUUGUGGAAUAUUAGGAAGGGUAACAGUCAGCCAAGGUCAGGAGAAGUCCCGCUGAUGGCACGGAAUACGUGGAGGGAGUUUUGCAGGAGCGAGCGCAUCAUGCCUUCCUGGUAUAUCUGUGGCCAAAAAUAGAGCAGAACCGUUUCACGUGACUUCAAACUUGACACCUCAUUGGCUGGUUCUGAGACAGGAUCGAUUGCUUCAGUCUUAAUUUACCUGAAGUGGCAGCUUGUGUGAUCCGGACUGGCGUUACGGUGGGGCUUACUCGCAGGGCUGGUUGGUCUUGCUGUCAUCCAGGAAGGCUCUGGCAUAGGCCAUGGGGCCGGCGUUCACCUGCAACAAUCAUCGCACCUGAACACCAUAAACAUCCUGCAAGAACAUCACCAUCCUCCUCCUCCUCCCCCAAGAUCUCAAACCUGCACAGACACGCAUCCCUGCAGUUUGAGCUGCAGCUGGAUCAUGUCCACCUCAGCGCUGGAGCACAGCUUGAGAAGCUCGGCCGUGCGGGACCUCAUCUCGUCGAUGGCCACCUCUACCGGCCGGAGGUCCACCUGCUUCUCUGUGACGACCUCCACUCGCUUCUUCACGUAAGGAAAUGUGUUGGCCGCUGAAGGGGAGGCAAAGGCAUGAGAAAAGCGCCAUGCUACGGCAAAUAGCGCAACAAUAAAACAAAGGCGUUAUUUCAUCACCACAAAACCAAGUAUCCUUUAAAAAUAUUUACACUAAAUAAUGGUGCAGUAGCACUAAUAGCAAAGAGGAUAGAAAACCACCCUUUGGAUACUAAUGGCUGCCUAUUUGUGCACUAACACGAAGGCUGUGUUUCAACUCACAUAUUUCCACUUUGCAUUUGGAGGGCAGAAAUCUGUUCACCAAAUAGCGAGUGUGCAGCAAUUAACACUAACCACCCUUAAUCCCUUAAUCAUCGCCAUUUUCAGUACGUAUAAUUAAAAAAUUAUAGAAGGAUGAGGAAGCAGGUCAUAAUUUCCGUGAAAAAUGAAUAAUGGAUUUGAGAAACAGCACCUGUUAAAAUCUGGGCCCUCUGGAUGUACACAGCACAUAUAGUACACUAUGUGUAAAUAAAUAUGUGAAUUGAAACACAGCCCAUGCUUAUAGGCUGCAUUCACACUUGUCAUGCUUGGUUCAGUUAAAACAAACUCUGGUGCGUUUGCGCUGCUAGUAUAUAUUUUUUGUGCCGAGCAAUCACUCGAACCCUGGUGUACACCAAACAUUUUAACAAAUGAACUAUGGUGCCGUUCGCUUCACUUGAACUACAAAUGGGAACACUAGAUGGACAAAAAAACAGUGGACCACUGUUAAAAUGACAGCUAAAAGCCAGCAAAAAUGACAAUUAUGUCAAAUUAAAUGUGGUAUACGUGCUGUCCCUCUGUGUAACCGCGUUUUCAAAGUAUAUAUUAAUGCUUUUUGUAAAAGCUAAGACAGCAAAAAUAGCAAAAAUACUGUAUGUACUGUAUUCAACCCAGGAGAAGCAUUUUGGAUUGGAAUAUUUCAGUUACAGUAUGUCAUCACCUAAUAUGUCACAAAAGCUCUUUAAAAGGUUCACCUUAGAUGUUUUUUUGUGAUAUCUAAAUAGGUUAUGAUAGCAGAAUAUAAAAAUGUUGUAAAACAACAUUUCGGUUUGGAAUAUUUGAGUUAUAGUACGUCAAUGUCAAGAAAGGGCUUUAAAAACUAUGGUGUAGAAGCUUUUUGUGAUAUCUAAACUGGUAAACCUAACAAGAUUUCAAAAUAAUCUACAUAUUCAACCCAGCAGACGGCAUUUUGGACAGGAAUAUUUGAGUUACCUAAUGUUACCUAAUAUCUUUCGAAAGCUCUUUAAAAGUAUAUUUUAUAAGCUUUUUGUAAUAUGUAAACUGGUAAAUAUCGAAUCCAAUCCACUUUAUUUGUAUAGCACAUUUAAACAACAAAAAUGUUUCCAAAGUGCUGCACAACAAUACUAAAAACAAUAUAUAAUUAUCCUUAGCUCCAACAAUGACUGAAUAAAAGCAAAAAACAAAUAAAUAUAAAACCAAUAUAAAGACACAAUAAAAAUAAAUAUAAAUGAUUAAAAACAAUUUUAAAGGGUAAAACCAAUCAAAACAAUAAAUACAAAUCUAAAUUUAAAAACACAGAGGACCACACAACUCACGUAGUGUUAAAAGCCAGAGAAUGAAAGUGGGUCUUAAGACGAGACUUAAAACACCACACUUUGAGAGCAGUUCGAACAUGGAGGGGCAGAGUGUUCCAGAGCUCAGGGCCGACCACAGAGAAGGCCCUGUCUCCGCUGGUUUUAAGUCUCUUCUUAGGCACCACAAGCUGGAGCUGGUUCAAUACAGCACAAUAUGAAAAUAAUCUACAUAUUCAAUCCAGCAGACGGCAUUUUGGUUUGGAAUAUUCAAAUUACGUCAUGUAAUUCGCCUCAAAAGCGGCCCAAUCAAGUUCUGACAGUUAUGUUUAUGUUCCUUAUUGUGCAGUCUUUGGUCACAUGAUAAAAAUAAUAGUGUGAACAUUAAGCCAACCGCCCCCCAAAGAGCACAUUAAGUUUUUGAAAAAUGUUUUGGUCCGGGUGAUCGUACAGGACCACAAGUGUGAACGCAGCCUUAUAUGACACUAAGCGUGGUCAUCGCCUGUACUUUAAAGAUCCAAAGUUUGUACUUGUAAGUAUGGUCCUCCUCUUGCACUGCUCCUCCACGCCGCCAUGCUUCUUCCCCGACAGUGUGUACGGCGUCUCGAACACAAAGCGGUUGAUGUUAUGGCACUUCUCAAAGUCUGUCUUCUUCUCCGGUGUCUCCUUCUCCUCAAAGUAGGGCUUGACAAAGGUUACCUGCACAUAGGCAAACUUGGGGUCCAGGUCUUUGGGGUUGACCUGCGGAACGACAAGACCUGCAUCACUUGUUGUCCUUCCGUCGGAAUUCACAACUCAAAUUGACAAAAAAGCACCUUGUUGGAGUCUUGAAUGAUUUUAACGUUCUCAGGCCCAAACUUCUCCCCGUAGAGCAUCAAAAGUCGCUGGGAGAUUUCAGACAGACCGGUGAGUUUGGGCUCCUUGUAAAUGUACUCUUUCCCAUCCUCCUCCUCAAAGAAACCCUGCACAAAACACGCACACUCGCUUGUACACCAGAAAAAGCCAAAGAAAAUAUCUAAAAUGUUUAUUUUUGACUAUAAAGACGGUUGGAAUUAAUGUAUCUGUCUUAAGUAAUAUUUGUACAGACAUCUGAGGUUAAUGUGGGUAUUAAGAACUGUAACUGCCUAAUUUAAAAUACUAGCAAAAUAUAAAUAAGUGGAACCCUGAGACUUCUUUUUUUAGGGUUGGUUAAAGAAAGAAGUCUGUUGUAUCAAACCAAAUACUUUCGUAAAUUUGAUAAGCAACGACAAGGUGUUGUGCCCUCCAUCCAACAGGAGUUCUUGCUGAAAUCCGCAGAUACAUUGACUCAUAUCAAAUUUUAAAUGAUACUACUUUUUCUCAAUGUAACUUUUUCUGUAAUUAAAGCAAUUUGAAAGUAUAUUUCAACCCAACUUCAAAUAAUAAAAAUAAUCUGCCAACAAAUCAAUAAAAAAUAUGUUUUUGGUACAAACAAAACACUUUUAAUCUUGAUUUAAUUUAAAGGCGACCAUUUAUGCAAAACCAUUUUUUCUUGCCUGUUGGUACCUGCUUUUGUGUAUUAGGUAUUUUGUGUAUUAGGGAUUUAAAUUAAUCACAAAAAUUUGAAAUCAAACCAUGGGAGGCAUGGCGGAGAUGUAUAUAAAAUAAUGUUUCCUUUAUUUAUAUAUUUCCUCCAAACAAGCCGUAGACAUCAGUGGACUAUCCAUAUAUGAUAAACAUGUAUCCAAAGUGCUUUGCACGCGUCCACCAUUGUAGUCCUCGUAGUCAGUAAGUUCCUUCUUUUUCGCUAUCCUCUUGUUGGGGGGCAGACUGACUCGUAAGUGCACAUGCAUCCUUCGCUGUUGGCAUUUCUGUUAUGAAGUACUGUAUAGUUCUAACUUGUAUCUGUGGAUAAACUCAAUAUGGAAGCACUAAAAACUAUUACAUGGCUGACGGGGAGAAGACGCAGUCCAAGUAGAGGUAUAUAAAUAAAACCAGCCACAAAACGGCGCAUCUUGAAGAGACGACAAAAAGCGUUUUGAAGAUGGUCUGUAAACAUAAUCUAUGCAACAGUUUGGCCAUAUAACCACCAUUACAUGUUAUGUAGGCACAAUGAAGUGUUAUGAAUGUAGAAAAAAAAGUUAAAAUAUGAUCUCUAUAAGAUAUAUACUUUUUGUAGUGGAGAUGUAAUGAAACUAAAAGGCUCACACAAAUUGAGUUCAUGCAGAGGUAAGGGACAUAUUACUUUUUUUUUUUGGUCUGGUUUGUUUAAAAUAUUACUCAAGCUUACUUCGGUGUUUAAAAUGUUGUAAGGCAUUCGGUAACAUGUGUUUCGGUGCUAAAAAUAGUAGGAAGGGUUUAAUAUCACAAGUAUUCUUACUUAAUAGUAAUGACAAUGAUAAUAAUCAUAAUGAAAGAUCCACCUGUCCAUAGAAAGCAACUCUGAAGUAUGUUCCAAGCAGCCUUCGUCCAGAUUGGAUCACUUCCAUGAUCUUGUUGUAGGCUCUGUGCAGCGUGUCGUACAGUCGGCUUAAUUUCUACAAGACAGGCAGAAAAUAAAAUUGCCAAAACCCCAAUCAAAGACAGAAUGAUAGCAGAUGAGAACAACUCAGUAUCAAUAAUAGUACAGUGUAACAAGUUUCUGUCAUGCCCUGGCUGACUGAUGUCGACAUAAACGGUUGUAAACUAAACAAAUGCCAAAACUGGCAAUUUCUUGCACAUGUACUUGUGACUUUGUCCAGAGACAUAAGAAAAAUGGGUGACAACAAAAGCUUGUUUAACCAAGGGAAAUUAUAGUAAAUGGUAAAUGGGUUAUACUGAUAGCGGGAGCUGACAUGGAAGGCCCUAACCACGACCCAUCAGGAGCAAGGGUAAAGUGUUUUGCCCAAGGAACCAACGGUCGUGACAAGUACGGCGGAAGCUGGGAUCAAACCUAGAACCCUCGAGUUGCUGGCGCUGCCACUCUACCACAAGAGCCCUGCUGCUUUCGUUGUAUGCCUUGACAACAAAACUUUAGUGCAUGCGCAAAUCUUUUUUUCAGUGGCUAACAAUAAAUAUAAAAAAAACAUUAAAUAGAUCCAUUUUGUUCACUGAUUUGAAAGAAUCCAGGUUACUAAUACUGUUAUGCUUUUAUUAUGAUGCUUAAUAAGCAGAAAGUCAUUGUGUGCACGUUUUGAUGCUGUAUAACUAGACAGUAGUUAUGUUGCUAAUUUUGUUUUUAUGUUGCUUAGUGAUAGUGAUGAAGUAAACAAUAUUACUACACAUCGAUAUAAACGGAUCCAUUUUAUAUAGACACGACCCCUUUUGGUUCUUGACCAUGUAGCGGACACUUUUUCUAAAAUAAGAACAACAGUGCAUCACAGUACUUGAGUUGGUCCACUUUGUAAAUAGGGCUGACUUAAGCGGGACUCACACUGUAGUAUAUGACAAUAUAUGCAUCCUAGCUCUGGUACCUCGUAGUCAUGGCGCUUUUCAAAACACGGAAUCACCAGUUUGGCGAUAUGUGUGAUGAGCUCGUAGCGCUCAGCUUUCCAGAGGGCCUCCACGCACACCUCCAGGUGCUCUACCAGGACUUCCUGGCAAGAUGCAGAAAAAAGGAAAUUGUAUUUAUUUUAUUGAUUUUUUUUUUAUGCUUGUCAGAUGUGUUGUGCAAGAACCUCAGUGUAAUAAACAUCUUGCAUCCCUGUG